UAGAGUUUGAUCAUGGCUCAUGAUGAACGCUAGCGGGAGGCCUAACACAUGCAAGCCGAGCGGUAGAGUUUCUUCGGAAACUUGAGAGCGGCGCACGGGUGCGGAACACGUGUGCAACCUGCCUUUAUCUGGGGGAUAGCCUUUCGAAAGGAAGAUUAAUACCCCAUAAUAUAUUGAUUGGCAUCAGUUAAUAUUGAAAACUCCGGUGGAUAAAGAUGGGCACGCGUAAGAUUAGAUAGUUGGUGAGGUAACGGCUCACCAAGUCAACGAUCUUUAGGGGGCCUGAGAGGGUGAUCCCCCACACUGGUACUGAGACACGGACCAGACUCCUACGGGAGGCAGCAGUGAGGAAUAUUGGACAAUGGGUGAGAGCCUGAUCCAGCCAUCCCGCGUGAAGGAAUAAGGACCUAUGGUUUGUAAACUUCUUUCGUACAGGGGAUAAACCUACUCACGUGUGAGUAGCUGAAGGUACUGUACGAAUAAGCACCGGCUAACUCCGUGCCAGCAGCCGCGGUAAUACGGAGGGUGCAAGCGUUAUCC
rnacentral:rRNA from 1 species